AUUGAACGCUGGCGGCAUGCUUUACACAUGCAAGUCGAACGGCAGCGCGGGCUUCGGCCUGGCGGCGAGUGGCGAACGGGUGAGUAAUGCAUCGGAACGUGCCCAGUAGUGGGGGAUAGCCCGGCGAAAGCCGGAUUAAUACCGCAUACGACCUGAGGGUGAAAGCGGGGGACCGAAAGGCCUCGCGCUAUUGGAGCGGCCGAUGUCGGAUUAGCUAGUUGGUGGGGUAAAGGCUUACCAAGGCGACGAUCCGUAGCUGGUCUGAGAGGACGACCAGCCACACUGGGACUGAGACACGGCCCAGACUCCUACGGGAGGCAGCAGUGGGGAAUGUUGGACAAUGGGGGCAACCCUGAUCCAGCCAUGCCGCGUGCGGGAAGAAGGCCUUCGGGUUGUAAAACGCUUUUGUUCGGGAAGAAAUCCUCUGGGCUAAUACCCCGGGGGGAUGACGGUACCGGAAGAAUAAGCACCGGCUAACUACGUG
rnacentral:rRNA from 1 species